rnacentral:rRNA from 1 species
GACGAACGCUGGCGGCGUGCUUAACACAUGCAAGUCGAGCGGUAAGGCCCUUUCGGGGGUACACGAGCGGCGAACGGGUGAGUAACACGUGGGUGACCUGCCCUUAGCUCUGGGAUAAGCCUGGGAAACUGGGUCUAAUACCGGAUAUGACUCCAUGACGCAUGUUGUGGGGUGGAAAGCCUUGUGCGGCUAGGGAUGGGCCCGCGGCCUAUCAGCUUGUUGGUGGGGUGAUGGCCUACCAAGGCGACGACGGGUAGCCGGCCUGAGAGGGCGACCGGCCACACUGGGACUGAGACACGGCCCAGACUCCUACGGGAGGCAGCAGUGGGGAAUCUUGCGCAAUGGGCGAAAGCCUGACGCAGCGACGCCGCGUGAGGG